CCUACGGGAGGCAGCAGUGGGGAAUAUUGGACGAUGGGCGCAAGCCUGAUCCAGCCAUGCCGCGUGAGUGAUGAAGGUCUUAGGAUUGUAAAGCUCUUCCACCGGUGAAGAUAAUGACGGUAACCGGAGAAGAAGCCCCGGCUAACUUCGUGCCAGCAGCCGCGGUAAU
rnacentral:rRNA from 1 species